GCAUCGCAGGAUGGUUACCCGAAAUAAAAGGCAAGCGAAAAAGAGCAAAGGUCACGGCAGCGAGCAAGCAGUUUGGCUGGGGGACUGCCCCGAUCCCAGCCGAGGCGUCGGAACCGCAUGAAGCUUAACGAGAUUUCUGAAUUGUCUACCCUUCUGUUGAAUGCUUGAGACAAUUUACAAUGAAUUGACAAAAUUAAGAAAGGGAGAAGCUAAGAGAAUCCAGAAAACCAGGCUUCCCAGACAGCUGUACCAAAGCGUGAUUCACUAGUCUUUGGAGAGAAAAACAGCCGUUCAUUCAGUGGCCAUUUGAAAUUACAACAAUGCUGAGCGAAUGGUAGUCACAACUGGUCCUCAACAUUGCAGCCAUUGCAGCGUCCCUGUGGCCACACAAUCAAAAUUCAGGAACUAUAGUGUCUUCAGGAAGUACAAGAGGAUCGAGAUGAGAUGUUAUAGUGGUGCUUUUUCUGUUGACAUGCUUUUCUGACGAACACGUGUCAUUUCCAGAUUCUAAGAAAGCAGCUUCCCAGGAAGACACCUGAAACAACAACUGCCUUCACUUCACUCUAUAUCUUUGGUGAAAGCCACAAAUCCACUCCUCUCCUUUUAUAUCCCUCUCAUUUAUCAAGUCGGUUUUGUGUUUUGCUUUGUUUUCAUUCCUCUACGCCAGAACAAAUCUCAGCCAGAGGCAGGUGCCAGGAAGUGCUGUAAUCAGAGGAAUGUGUUUCUAUCUUUAGUUCUUUUAACUGCAAGGAGAAUUGCUGUGUUAUUUUAUUUAAAUAAACACAACCUUUUAUUGGAAA